rnacentral:rRNA from 1 species
GACGAACCGUGCGAACGUUGUUCGGAAUCACUGGGCUUAAAGGGCGCGUAGGCGGACCACCCAGUCCGGGGUGAAAUCUUUCGGCUCAACCGGAAAAGGGCCUUGGAUACUGGUGGUCUGGAGGAAGGUAUGGGCAUGCGGAACUUCCGGUGGAGCGGUGAAAUGCGUUGAUAUCGGAAGGAACGCCGGUGGCGAAAGCGGCGUGCUGGACCUUUUCUGACGCUGAUGCGCGAAAGCCAGGGGAGCGAACGGG